CAAAUUAAAGCAUCUCCUUAUGCACCUCUUUUACACAGAGAAGAAAACAUUAGUUUAAUUUGA
rnacentral:tRNA from 1 species